GUCCGGAUUGGAGUCUGCAACUCGACUCCAUGAAGUCGGAAUCGCUAGUAAUCGUGGAUCAGAAUGCCACGGUGAAUACGUUCCCGGGCCUUGUACACACCGCCCGUCACACCAUGGGAGUGGGUUGCAAAAGAAGUAGGUAGCUUAACCUUCGGGAGGGCGCUUACCACUUUGUGAUUCAUGACUGGGGUGAAGUCGUAACAAGGUAACCGUAGGGGAACCUGCGGUUGGA
rnacentral:rRNA from 1 species